rnacentral:rRNA from 1 species
GAUGAACGCUGGCGGCGUGCCUAAUACAUGCAAGUCGAGCGAACAGACGAGGAGCUUGCUCCUCUGACGUUAGCGGCGGACGGGUGAGUAACACGUGGAUAACCUACCUAUAAGACUGGGAUAACUUCGGGAAACCGGAGCUAAUACCGGAUAAUAUGUUGAACCGCAUGGUUCAAUAGUGAAAGACGGUUUUGCUGUCACUUAUAGAUGGAUCCGCGCCGCAUUAGCUAGUUGGUAAGGUAACGGCUUACCAAGGCGACGAUGCGUAGCCGACCUGAGAGGGUGAUCGGCCACACUGGAACUGAGACACGGUCCAGACUCCUACGGGAGGCAGCAGUAGGGAAUCUUCCGCAAUGGGCGAAAGCCUGACGGAGCAACGCCGCGUGAGUGAUGAAGGUCUUCGGAUCGUAAAACUCUGUUAUUAGGGAAGAACAAAUGUGUAAGUAACUAUGCACGUCUUGACGGUACCUAAUCAGAAAGCCACGGCUAACUACGUG